rnacentral:lncRNA from 1 species
CGUCGACGCCGAACCAAUCAAAAGCACAAGAAACUCGAUAAUGAUGACCUAAUACAAAGAUGAACAAGGAACCUUCGAACAACAUCGACAUCGUACAGGACAAAAAUGAAAGAAGUCCGGCGCACGAUAAUUCAACACGAUGUACGGGUAAGGUAACAAAGACCUUUUCAUUUCAUUAGCAAAAUGUGCGUUACAGAGCCUGGA